rnacentral:rRNA from 1 species
GUUGGGGGAAGGGGCCAGUGGGGAAAGAGAGGGAGGACAAGUUAGCUGGCUGGCUGGCUGGUGUGGCGAGCAGGGGCGGCCUGGACCACGCCGCGGGGCGCGACGGUGCGGCUGACCCCCUAUUCCGGUGAGGGACCGCGGAGCCAGGGGACGGUGAAAGGGGUGAGCUGGGGGAGGGGAAGGAGGGAGCGAGUGGAGAGAGAGCUAGACCUAGCUCCGGCUCGCCGCGCCAGCGGCACACCACGGGUAUUGGCGCCGGUGGCGGCAACUAAACGGUCGUGCGGCACGGACGCUCCAGGCGGAGUCCCAGAAGAAGGUGAUGUGGCUACUUGCGGAGGCCUCCUCGUCGUUCUGUUGCGCUGGCUUGGGGUAGAGGUUGGAAGACGUAGCGUCCGCCGGUAGAAGUUAAGCGGUGGUGGCCUCUGAGGGCUCGGGCGACGGACAGGGAUGUUCGUGGCGAUGCAACCUCGGGUCCUCGGUCUGCGGUGAUAGCUACUGCUGAUGAUGAUGAGCCCUCAACGGAUGAUGAUGCACGUCGGGCGACUGUUGCUGGUCCUCAUCAAUCCUCCUAGGGUCCAUCCUCCGGACGCGGAGAAAGCUAGACAUAGGGUCAAACACAAUCGGAAGAAUUCCGUUUGAUGAAAUUGAAUACAGAUAUGAGUCUAUAACAACGAAGACGACUGAGCAGAUACUAGCUCGAGAACAUAAGCUCGGAAACUCCGGGGACCGAACAUUAUACUACGAACAUACUGAAGAAAAUAAACAUCUCAACACAACACUAUAGAAGGGCACUCAGGGACUAGAACUAGCAUGUGUAAACGCACAUACUAAUCACAUACUAACUUAUCCCCCGCAGUGUGGAUGUAAUAUAAAUACUUGACCUCGAUCACAGCAUAGCGGG